UAUUCACACAUUCAGGAAA
rnacentral:miRNA from 1 species